UACGUAGGGUGCGAGCGUUACUCGGAAUUACUGGGCGUAAAGCGUGCGCAGGCUGUUUUGUAAGUCAGAUGUGAAAUCCCCGAGCUCAACUUGGGAACUGCGUUUGAAACUACAAGACUAGAAUAUGUCAGAGGGGGGUAGAAUUCCACGUGUAGCAGUGAAAUGCGUAGAGAUGUGGAGGAAUACCAAUGGCGAAGGCAGCCCCCUGGGAUAAUAUUGACGCUCAUGCACGAAAGCGUGGGGAGCAAACAGG
rnacentral:rRNA from 1 species